UCCUGGUCGGACAUCAGGAGGUUAGUGCAAUGGCAUAAGCCAGCUUGACUGCGAGCGUGACGGCGCGAGCAGGUGCGAAAGCAGGUCAUAGUGAUCCGGUGGUUCUGAAUGGAAGGGCCAUCGCUCAACGGAUAAAAGGUACUCCGGGGAUAACAGGCUGAUACCGCCCAAGAGUUCAUAUCGACGGCGGUGUUUGGCACCUCGAUGUCGGCUCAUCACAUCCUGGGGCUGAAGUAGGUCCCAAGGGUAUGGCUGUUCGCCAUUUAAAGUGGUACGCGAGCUGGGUUUAGAACGUCGUGAGACAGUUCGGUCCCUAUCUGCCGUGGGCGCUGGAGAACUGAGGGGGGCUGCUCCUAGUACGAGAGGACCGGAGUGGACGCAUCACUGGUGUUCGGGUUGUCAUGCCAAUGGCACUGCCCGGUAGCUAAAUGCGGAAGAGAUAAGUGCUGAAAGCAUCUAAGCACGAAACUUGCCCCGAGAUGAGUUCUCCCUGACUCCUUGAGAGUCCUGAAGGAACGUUGAAGACGACGACGUUGAUAGGCCGGGUGUGUAAGCGCAGCGAUGCGUUGAGCUAACCGGUACUAAUGAACCGUGAGGCUUAACCUUACAACGCCGAAGCUGUUUUG
rnacentral:rRNA from 1 species